rnacentral:rRNA from 1 species
UACGUAGGGUCCGAGCGUUGUCCGGAAUUACUGGGCGUAAAGAGCUCGUAGGUGGUUUGUCGCGUUGUUCGUGAAAACUCACAGCUCAACUGUGGGCGUGCGGGCGAUACGGGCAGACUGGAGUACUGCAGGGGAGACUGGAAUUCCUGGUGUAGCGGUGGAAUGCGCAGAUAUCAGGGAGGAACACCGGUGGCGAAGGCGGGGUCUCUGGGCAGUAACUGACGCUGGAGGAGCGAAAAGCGUGGGGAGCGAACAGG